AGCAAAACUUUCUCAAGGACAGAAGAUGGAGCUGUUGUAGUCAGAAUCAUGCCUUCAUCUGAGACCCCAGCCCAAAGUUUGGAAUACAGUAACGUCACCAACAAUAAAAAACAGGAAUGUGUGCAAGCAUGUAUAUGUCUGUGUUUAGUUUUGUAGCACCAGAGUUCCUUUACAAAUCACCAAUGGAGGUUAAGCCAUAAAAAGCAAUGAAGACAAGCAUUUAAAAAAGUACUGGUCAUGGUUCUGGACAACGGUUGCUGCACAGUACAUAAUGUCAUGCACUCUACUGUACUCUUCUGUGUGCUAACAAUUACUUUCUUGUCCAAUGAAGUAACACGGGCCAGAGCCUGACACUGUUCAGAUAACUGCAAAACAACAAGCCAUUGUUCAGUGUGAAUGCAGAUCUUAUGUCUUUCCUGGAUUUUCAUUUAAUCGCAUGCUCCUAAGUUAACCCAAUAUUUGUCAUGUGAAAACUCUUUCUUAAGGAAGUUCUGGUGAAUGGUCAGGCGCCGGUAAGGGAAGGCAGGGGUGGAGGACCACUGACCUGGACUUGGGAUAUCAUCAGGUCAUGGAAGGAACACUCUGACGAACCCAGCUGAAAGACAGAGUCUAAAGACCAGCUUCGUCUAUAACCUUGGAAGAGGUGGCUGAAAUAGUCAAAAAGCUUCUCAGAAGCAAAGCGCCAAGGGUGGAUGAGGUUCUCCCUGAGAAGCUGAAGGCUUAGGACAUUGAUGGGUUGUCUUGGCUGACACGCCCGCCUCAAUUUCCAGGACAAUGCCUGUGGAAAAGAAGACUGUGGGGCUGUGGUUUCCAUUUAAAAAAAAAAAAGAAAUGUACUCCAAUUAUUGUAGCUGCACAAUUCUCAGCCCUGGAGAAAGAAGACUUUUGAUCGUGUUACUUUGGGACUCUUGUGAGGGGUACGAAGGGAAAUGGGGUCCAGGGCCAUUUCUGCAAGCUAUUUGAUCCCUGUUUGCCCAGAAUGAGAACUGUGUCCACACACUCAGCACAAAGUCACAGUCAGC